GGUGUGGGGUGGACAAAGAGUAGGGAGAGAAGGGAUAAACUGCCUAUAGACUAAUGGGAUGUGGGGCUCAACCAAGAGAUCAGUGAGAAAGGAACCUGAGCAGAAUCUGUGGAAAAGACCUGGUCAAGGGUCUGCUGGGAACACAAAGGUCAUGGAAACAGGGGUCACAGGGAAAGAACACCAGACUCACACAUUUGCGUGGAGUCUGCCCCCAAACCCACCGGGUCCUUCCUGCGGGCUUUCCUGCUGGAUGUCGCACAGCUCAUCACCAUGGACAGCGCUGUGCCUGAGCGGAGAGCACCGGAACAGCUAGCCAGGUGCCGGGUUAGACAUGGAAGCCGGUGAGGUCUGAGAUGCGUGUCCACAACCCAAACCCCAGGCCUUACAAGCAGACACAGCUCCAAGUGACGCACACCUGGACCCCACACCCACGCGCGGGCGGCGACGCACCCAACUGCACACAAAGCCCCAGCCCGGAGAGGCAGACCCCACCGCAGGAGUCGCGGCAGCCGGGGAAACAUGGCGGUAAACGCACAAAGACAGGCCUCCGCGGGCGGCCAAGGGCAGGGGCCGGCGAGGUGCGGAUGGGCGCCUGCGCCCCAGCCCUCCCACUCCCCAGUCCCGGCCUCCCCCAGGAUUUACGAUCCAGCUGUUCUCACACUGCAGACAGUUUACUGUGCUGGGCGGACCUGUUAAAGCCGAAGGGCGUUUAUUAUACUGUAGGGGGAACCA